AUACGGAGGAUCCGAGCGUUAUCCGGAUUUAUUGGGUUUAAAGGGUGCGCAGGCGGCCUUUUAAGUCAGCGGUUAAAUCGUGGGGCUCAACCCCAUUCUGCCGUUGAUACUGGGUGGCUUGAUUGCGGUCGAGGUUGGCGGAAUUCGUUGUGUAGCGGUGGAAUGCAUAGAUAUGACGAAGAACACCGAUUGCGUAGGCAGCUGACCAGACCGCAAAUGACGCUCAUGCACGAAAGUGCGGGGAUCGAACAGGAUUAGAUACCCUGGUAGUCCGCACAGUAAACGAUGAAUACUUGUUUUCAGCGAUAUAAUGUCGGAGGCAAAGCGAAAGCGAUAAGUAUUCCACCUGGGGAGUACGCCGGCAACGGUGAAACUUAAAGGAAUUGACGGGG
rnacentral:rRNA from 1 species